AAUAGUACCAUCUGCAAUGACGAGGAAUGCAAGAAACUUGUUUUACAGGUAACAAAUCAGAUGGGAUCAUCACCACCUUGCGAUGAUUUUUACAACUAUACAUGCGGUAACUGGGAAGGCGAUAGGGAAUUAAAACACAGGGAAAUAAAGGCCAAAGCAGUAAGAGAUCUCAUAGUGCUUUUGGACAACGCCACUAUAUCACCUCAGUGGAACUCGAAUGCAACUGAGGAGCUGAUCAAUGCCUACAACUCGUGCGUAAAAACAGGAGGAGAUGAAGUCAAGCUUCGAGAAGCGGUAAAGUCUGCCCUGUCUGCCUACGGCUUGAAAGAGUGGCCAAUCCAAGGGAACAACAAUAAUGAAGAUAACGGUUACAAAGAGAUACUCAAGAAAACAGGCCCAAGACCCCUGUUUCGCUAUUUUGUAUCUGAAGAUAACUCUACGCCAAUU